UUUCAUUUUCCUCCAGGCAACGAAUAUAUGAGCGCGUCAAGUUAAAAGCGGAAGACCUCGUAAACGAAAUCUGCGCCAAGGCCGAGACGGUCAACCAGAACGGACUCGCCAAGGACAUUGUAACUAGUGUAAAUUUCGCCAAAGCCAAUAGUGUAGACUCCUAUCGCCCACCGCUGGCCGAGACCAAACUCAAGACGUCGAUGACGUCAUCCUUCGAGGACGCACUUCUCAACGUCAACUUCGGCGAGGGAGCGGAAGCCCCCACCUUCUGUCCCCGCCUCAGCACAAUAGGCUCUGAACUAGAACUUAAGGUGGCAGAGGAGCUCUCGCCGGUGGACAAGAGCGGCUCGAGUUUCUCGGACGGGAACCUGAGUCCGGACCCGAAGGGGCUCUCGGACAGUGUGAUAGAGACGAUCAAGGGUGAGAUCGCGGAGAUCUGCGAGGAGGCAGCCGACCGGGCAGCCCAGCUGCUCGCCGAGAAGGCCGCCGAGGAGGCCGAGUCCGACUCAAACGAGAUCUCCGAGAACGGGACGUCGACCAACAACCCGAGCAUAUCCUUCUCCGACGACACCCAGAUCAUCGAGUCCAGCAUCCACGCCCCGGUCGACGAGAAGCUCGCCUCCGCCGCCACCACCAUCCAGGCCUCCUUUCGGGGCUACCAAGUCCGCAAGGCUCACAAAAAGCAGGAGAACCCCCGGACUGAGUCAACAGUGGUAGACGAAGACGAGCUGCCGCCUCCGGACAUGGAGCUCCUGGGCUCGGAAGGCGACACGAUCUCCGAGGAGGACCUGCCGCAACCGCCGGAGUUCGACGACCUCCCGCUGCCGGAGGACCUGGCCGAGCUGGACGAGUACGUGGUGACGCCGGAGAUCCGGGACCAGAUGGUCCGGCGCAACACCAUCAUCGCGGAAACCCGGCUCUCGGGGCUCUCGGCCGCCUCCAUGAACGAGUCCUCCUCGGAGAUCGACUCCUCUCUGUCGAGCGCGGCGACCAAGAUCCAGGCCGGGAUCCGCGGCUACCUCGCGCGGAAGCACCUCAAGAACACCUCCUCGACGACGGCCCCCUCCAUGGACGACUCGGAUCUCUCGACCGGCGAGCCGAACCAGAUCAAGAAGGCCCUCUCCGUCGAGGAGACCGAGAUCCAGCGGCAUCCCUUCUCCCCGGAUGAAAAGUACAUGGUGGGGAAGCGGAUGUCCCUGGACUCGCGGAUCAACCCGUCGAGCGGGAGCCGGGGGCGGGCGCCGAUGCGGAGCACGAUGUCGGAGUGCGCCGACGACCGGGACCAGUGGUUCGUGGGCUCGGAGGCGGAGGAGAAGGCGGCGGCCCGGAUCCAGUCCGGCUACCGGGCUACAAGACGCGGCAGCGGCUCAAGCGCGGCGACGCCGUCCAGCAGCCCACGACGAGCAGCAGCGUAACCCCGGCCUCCGCCUCCCCCGCCACCGCCGCCUCCCCGCGCACCCACUCCGCCGCCAGCGAGGAGCCACCCACCCCCAAGCACACCGGCGAGUACCAUGACGUCCUCGCCCUGUCGCCGCCAGUCCUCCACAGCGGUCAGUACCCACUUCUUUCAUUAUAAUUUACUGGGGGAAAAAAGUUACGGGCUGGAGACACCGUUCCGGGUUCGAAGGCCGAGAGUUCCGGGUGCUGAAGCCGUAACUUCAAUUGCUCUGGGUGCUGCGCCCGGAACUUUCGACCUCUGAGCCCGGAACCUGGACGGUACGUUUAUGCAGCCCGUAAGCACGGAUUCGAAGGCCAGAGUUUUUUUUUUGUCGUCUACCACACUCAAAGCCACUUUUAGCCUAAUAUCGGAUUGAUCGUGUAAAUCCGAUCCAGUGAAUCCGUACAGGGCUGAACACACGUUCAAAUUGAAGCUUCAAAGUGGUGGCUGUUUGGCCGAGUGUUGUCAUCGAUUACCGCAUCGAUGCGCAACACUUGACGGAACAGCCACCACUUUGAAGCUUCUUUUUGAACGUGUGUCUACGUCCAUGCCACAAUCGCACGCUGAAUAUGGAAGCUGAAUGUAGCUUGAAUGUGGAAGUCAUCGGCCAGAUGCCUGAAUUUUGCGCGUGUCGUGUGUCGCACCAAAAGCAUAGUUCGGCAUGGACUGGCUUCUCGAAAGAGGCCCGGGAAACAGCCAACAGAUCGGCCUAUCGCAGUGCCGCGAUGGACUCCCCCCCCCCUUCACCCAUCAUUUUUCGAUAUUAGCCGUAGGCGUGUCUCGGUCAUUUUGCAAAAAUUGCCAAAGUUAUGUUAGAUUGCCAGAGUUCAUUUUUGUGUGAAUGUGAUAGCAUGAAUAUAUCUCCUG
rnacentral:lncRNA from 1 species